UUACUUUACCAAAUUUGGAACACACAAUCCAUUUCUGUGUUGAAAUUCCUCUAAGUUAUAUUGCUUAUUACCAGGGGUGGAAUUCUACCGGUUCGGCCAAUUCUAUAGAAUCGGUAGCUCCGAAGAGCAGCUGACACCGAACCGAUUCGCUGUGACGAUCGUCUGGUCAUCUGUUUCGCCCGCCCGCCCGGGCUCUAGGCUAUCUUUUAGUCUCUGCAUUUUCCUCCUCAGCUGCUUUGAGCGGCACAGGUAAGUGCCGCUUGUCAACUGGAGCAGGUGAAUGCUUGCCGGACUCAGUAAUUUGGGCCAUAUAGAGGCAAAAGAAGCAUCUCUGUCCAGAUUUUGUCCUCAUGCAGAAAUUUUGUCAGCACGUGAUCCUUCACAAAGGCACCUGGGUCUGCUUCAAGACAAAGUACCAGCUUCUAACACAUGUUUAAUUACAAGACUACUUCUGGAAGUCCACAAAUGUAUGGGCUAGUUUCUGUAGCUUAGCUUUGCUAAGAAGGAAGGAAGGAAAAUAUGAAAUAGUAAAUAAGAAACUCAGUUUGUUAUUUGAUACACUAGUAUUUUGUGACUGGUGUUGCUCAAGUUAUUCUGAGAACCAGAAAGCCCCCCACCCCACAUGACAGCCAUUUUGAGGCAGCACCUGCAGUGCACCUCACUAUUCCCCGUGUGGCCACUCAACCCAAAGGUUUACCUGUUCUUAUUUCAGAGGUGAUUAAUUAGUUAUUAUUUCUUAAGUUUAAAUGUUUAUGAACCAGUAAAGAACUGUGAACAUAGCAGUCCCUGUUCCAUUUUUUUAAAACAAAUACCACCCUGUAAAGUUCUAACAGAAUGUAUAGAUGACUUUGGGGAAAGAGAGGAAGAGAUGCUGCCUAGGAAACAAUCAAUGGCUUAAAGAAACUUAGGAAGGACUCACCCUCAUGUUAAAAGUGGC